UAAGUGGUGGGGGGUGCAUAGUGGGAUGGAAGGGAGGGUGAUUUACUGCCCAUCUCUGUAAUGAAAUGGCAUCUCUGGACGGGGCCGCAAAAAAAUGGCCCAUAAUGGAUAGGCCACUUUGCUUAAUGAAAUUAGGUCUUUGGGCCAAAAACGCUGCCGUAACUCCAUUAAUAUAUGUGCGGUGGCGGGGCGGCGGCGCUGGUGGUGUGCGCGCGCGCGUGCGGGAGUGCUCCAGUGUGCUCGUCGAGCGAGCGGGGUACAGGCAGUGCUGCGCAAGGACUCGCCGUGCAAGGACUCGCCGUGCAGGCACUCACGCCGGGAGAAGCGCACGGAGGAGUGGGAUCGGCUCGAUUGCAUGAAGGGCGCUCGGACGCCGGGCGGGCGUGAACGCUCGCUGCCCGCGGCCGCCGGGCAAAGUCCGACCGACCGUGGCACCUUCAGCAAACAACGGGAACGGACGCGCACGAGAUUCUCCGAUGGGACCGCACGCCACUCAGGUUUGGUGCGUUACUCGUAAAGAUGUGGCGGUACAGCAAGUCCAACCACCGUCUACCCUUCGGGGUGCUUUUUCAAAGUUUCUCCGGGCUUCAGCGAACCUCCGACCCCCCCACCACCACCACCGAGAUUUGUGAAGAUCCCAGAAAGACGGCCGUCCCUGCCUUGUGCUUGAUCUAACCAUGUGCUGCCCCAAACAACAUGGUUUGUUCAUGCACCAGGUAGAGGCAUGCCCUUUCUUCCUCCAGGCGGAAGAAGGAAUGUCACAGGGCGAAGCCACACGUCCAAAAAAUCAUUUGCGUCGCAUGAAGUACUUGAAAACAAGAUUAAAAAAAGUCAACGCGGCAGCUUAAUACUUUGCCGAUUUUCUGAAACCAUUUCAAACCCAGCUCAUGUGAUUGUAAAUAUCGGCGUGGUUUCCCCCCUCCCCCCUCUUCUGAAAUAUUACGCUGAAAGUUUACAGCUUCUGCUGUUCAGAUUUCAAAUCUUGCAUGCGAUGGGCUCUCUACGUCACUGCGGCUAUUGUGUUACCACGAUAGCGCAAACAACCACAUGGCCCAGGCAGAUGUCCGAGGUGAUGAUGCGCUCGGGUGCUUCGUUGUGCGAGGGGCCAUUUUUGUGAAACAAAAGGCUCGGUGGGGGUCGCAAUUUGCGAUGUUUUUUUAUUUACUAUUUCUUGACGAAUCUUAAAAAACUGAUAGAGGACUGGUUCCGUCAAGGCAGCGUCCACAACCACAGCCGUGUUAUAAAGACCUCAAAUGUCGUAUCUUUCUAUGUAAAUGAACAUUUUCUGCGCUGUGUGUAAUGUCGAAGCCAGCCUACGAAAAUAAACAGUUUUGUCUGCUCUGCCAAAAGGUACACACUGUCAAAACACAUAAACAUCAACAAGACAUUCAUAUUAAUUGAUCCAACAUACACUGCCAACAUUCUGUCCGUAAAAUAAAAAUGUGCGCAGUCCUUUCUGAUAUUCAACGUAACCAACUGUGUAGUGCUCGCGGCGUAACGUAAUUGAAUAACGCGAACAUCACUCGUCCUCAUGCCACGGGUUAACACGGAGAUUCGCCCACUACGGCCGAGUUUUGAUGCAAUGUGAUUAAGUCAACGUGGCACAUAUGGGCGUGUAUUGAAAGAAACACGAUAUGUACCUCGAUGAUUUCGCGAUCAUUUGUUUUCGAAUUGAAACACAAACAUUGAUAGAUUACGACUGAGAUAUUCAUCCCAAAACGCAUGCGCGGGUCAGACAGCAGUGCGGUUGUUCAACCACGCGAUGAAAAUUAAAGUGAUUUCCACCCCCCCUUUCCCCUCUCCUAGAUUUUGUUUGAUGUGAGCCAAUGGCCAUGGCUCCUUGAUAUGAACAUUUGUUGAAAAUUAGACGUAAUAUAAACACAUUGCGCCUUAAUUAUUAUUGAAAGUCCCAUAAAAACGCAGCAAAAAAAACCGUUGCAUGCACUGUUUUAUUUUUUGAAAAUUUUUUUUGACAGCCAUUAGAAAUGCCUAGGUAGGCUACUUUUAUGAAUCCAAAAUAAUUUAUACACAUUUACUGUGUAUAUACAUUUUGCUUAAGAUUGAAAUUUCAUCUCCCAUUUGAAAAUGUGUUUUAGAUUCGACAGAAAAACACCACCCUCCCCACCAAAAUGAAAUAAAUGAGAAACAUUAAGUCAAUUACAGGUGUGCGAAUACAUUUGGAACCACCGAACUGGAAAUGCAAGUAAACAAACUGAAAUCUCAGAAUCACAGGUAAUUUUACGCACGCGCGGUGCGAUGCUAAGAGCGAACGUCACGUUUUUCGAUGUGGCCGGAGUAGAGCUGCAAUAGCAGCUUUCAUUUCCAUCUCCCUGCCAUAAUGCCCUGUCCCACCCUAAACCAUGGAGUUAGAGCAGGGGUCCCCAACCCCCAGGCCGCAAACCGGUAUCGGUCCGUGGCCUGUUAGGAACCAGGCCGCACAGCAGGAGGAGGUGAGAGUGGUGAGUCCGCGCGUGGCCCGCCCAUUAUUUUAUUUACCAAUUCCGUCCGCGCCUCUUUCCCGCACUGCGCACUUGUCUCAGUCACAGUUUUGGUAAGCCCAAAAGCUAACCCCUGGCCAAAAUGAGUAAAAAACAAACGUCGCUGGAGAGAUUCUUUGAAAAGGGGGAAAGACCUAAUGAUGAACUGAGUUAGAGGACCCACACCCAUGACAUCUACCCAGAAGAGUGUGCGUCUGCUAUGUGCACGCAAAUGAAUUUACAGCUUUGGAAACCUGCAACGCAAACGCCGGCUGAUUUAUAAGCAAAAAUAAAUGUGUAUAAUGUACAUGUAUCGCGUUUGGAAUGGAGCUGUCUGGAUCAUUGUGAGCGCAAUUGCUGGCGACUUUAUUUUGGAGUGUUUCUCGUGUGCGUUGGUGUACAUCGCCCCGUUCACAAUUCCCUAAAGCGGUGAGCGUAGCUCCUGCUGCAUGUUAGGGUGGGACAGUGCUAAAAGACAACUUGUAUAUUACAGAACGUAUGCACGCAUGAACCUGGCCACAGAGAGGUAGCGGAUACAAUUUUGAGGGUGUAAAAAUGGAUCAGGGGUCAUAUUACAAUUCAACAUUUUCACAAUCACGAGCAUCAAAGUUGCAAACAUAAAAAUUCAGAACUGUCAGCGGAUGCUUAAUCGAGAAGAGCAGCUUUAACAAUGCACGAUGAUAACCUCCCUCUUAUAACGGCUCCUCAUAUAUGACUGCCAGCAAGGCAACCAGAUUAAGAUUUCAGCUUCAUUCAUUUCUGAAGUUGUCUAUGAAAACCAAAAAAUAACUGAAUGCAGAGCGCCGGAUGAGCCCUGCACUGGUUGGUGCCCAACACACGACUGAGUACAGCUCAACCUUGGGAUCGUUUUCCUCGCUCAGCUGUGCAGGCGGUGGAGGAGGGGGCAGUCUAAACAGGAAGGCAGUGUUAAAAGCUGUUAGCCAUCAAGAUAGUGGUGUUUGACUCUAGCUUGUAGUCGUGUGAUCGUGACCCAGGUAUUUGAUAGUCGAAAAAGAGAGCUUAACUUUGACAUCGCUUGACGUACAUUCGACUAUAGUUUGAGAAAAACUGAUUAGCAAAGAGUUCAGGGUAACGUCUAAGGCAUCGUCGUUUGACACGUCUGAUAUAUAUUAAGCACAACAGGAUUAACCACAAACUGAGUGCUUCAAAAUGAUAUGACUAACUAAAAAUGCACAUUAUGGGACAAACAGGAAGGGAUGAUAUAAACACAAGCACCAAAAUCACGAAGACAUGCUUUUUUUUCACAAUCUUGGAGAAAAAAAUGACAUGACGGCGGUUGAAGGAAAUUCCUUAA